AGAGUAAGUCAGACGAUUGCGCCGUUUUCGGUGAGGAAAGUCCGGGCUCCACAGAGCAGGGUGCCGGCUAACGGCCGGUAAAGGCGACUUUAAGGAUAGUGCAACAGAAAAUAAAUGCCUCCGCUUGUCGGACGGUGAUUGUGGAAAUGUGCGGUAAGAGCGCACAGGGAAGAUGGCAACUGAAUUCCCGUGUAAACCCCACUCGGAGCAACUUUGGGAAUGUUAAGCUUGCUCGGCGUGUUCCCUUGAAAGGCUGGAGCGCAUUGGUAACUUUGCGUCGAGAUAGAUAAUCGUCUAAUACAAAACCCGGCUUAUAGAUUUGCUCUCGUU
rnacentral:RNase_P_RNA from 1 species